UGUGCGAGAGGCCGAGCAACGCCUUGAUUGUCUUUAGGGAUGAAGACAGUGUAGCUAUCACGGUCCAUAGGCAGGAAGAGGUCGAAAAUGGGCUCUAUUUCGCGGUCCCGCCUCUCCACCUUGCCCUCCCAUCCUGUUUCAUCGAAUCCAAAAUUAUCAAGGUCGCUCUGUAUCCAUCAGAUCCGUCAAGUGAAGGAACCACGAGGCCAGCAUAUGAUGCAGAAGCUAGCGCAGCAAGGGCAAUGGUGGAGCUAACAUUGGAGUCUGCAGAAUAUCAAUACCGUUGUGGAUGCGGCCGAGGCAUGUGAUUGUGCCCAACCAGAACCUGAAUUACCCGAGUCCUACGACAACGGCGACGACCACUCAUCAUGGUCAUGGAGACAAAAGGUCACCAUGGAACACCAUUUUUCACACCAGUUUUACGCUGUCUACCGUGUCAGAACUCUACGGACCAAGGCUAGGAGCGGACGGUCACCUGUGGAUGGAUGGAGCCAGUUUCACUAGCUACUUAAAGGGCGCAGAAAUCAACAAAGUAUCCGUACGAGUUGUUCAACUGGCUCCACCAAAUUACUGGAUAGCGCUCUCGGAGCCGAUGAAAUGGCAACUGGCUAGGGAUUGUUAACUUGUUUGACCAUCAAAGUUCAAAGAGAUUUUUGAUUCUUUGUUAAUAAGUGGAAAGGUGGAAUCUAAUUUCAAAGAAUAAGCUAACUCUUGUAGAAAUCUUACUGUAUCAACAACAUGUUAUCUCUUUCCAUAACAUAUAAUUAAUCAUUUACUGUAAA